rnacentral:misc_RNA from 1 species
UCGAGACCCUCCACGAGUAGACCGCGAACACGUUCCCAACGCACGGGACUCUGAACGGGCAGGUCGUGUGCCUCCCGUCGGAGUCCCGCCCCUGCUGUGUCCUCGCGCGAGCGAGCGUGCAUGGCUGGGCCAACCACCCCAUGGCGCGGAAGGCGCCAAGGAUCACGACGGCGGAGCGCGCCCCCCUCCUCGGCCCCGUUCGCGGCGUGCUGUGUGGGUGACCCGUCUCCCUGGAUUGAAUAAUAUUGAAAAAC